rnacentral:rRNA from 1 species
UGGGGAAUUUUGGACAAUGGGCGAAAGCCUGAUCCAGCAAUGCCGCGUGUGUGAAGAAGGCCUUCGGGUUGUAAAGCACUUUUGUCCGGAAAGAAAUCCUUGGCUCUAAUACAGUCGGGGGAUGACGGUACCGGAAGAAUAAGCACCGGCUAACUACGUGCCAGCAGCCGCGGUAAUACGUAGGGUGCAAGCGUUAACCGGAAUUACUGGGCGUAAAGCGUGCGCAGGCGGUUUGCUAAGACCGAUGUGAAAUCCCCGGGCUCAACCUGGGAACUGCAUUGGUGACUGGCAGGCUAGAGUAUGGCAGAGGGGGGUAGAAUUCCACGUGUAGCAGUGAAAUGCGUAGAGAUGGUGGAGGAAUACCGAUGGCGAAGGCAGCCCCCUGGGCCAAUACUGACGCUCAUGCACGAAAGCGUGGGGAGCAAACAGGAUUAGAUACCCUGGUAGUCCACGCCCUAAACGAUGUCAACUAGUUGUUGGGGAUUCAUUUCCUUAGUAACGUAGCUAACGCGUGAAGUUGACCGCCU